AGCAGCCGCGGUAAUUCCAGCUCCAAUAGCGUAUAUUAAAGUUGUUGCAGUUAAAAAGCUCGUAGUUGAAUUUCGGGAUCAAUUUAUUGGUCGUGCUAUUGUACGUACUGGUAUUAUUGAUUCCUCCCUCUUGACGAGCCGUAAUGCCAUUAAUUUGGUGUUGCGGGGAAUCAGGACUGUUACUUUGAAAAAAU
rnacentral:rRNA from 1 species